UACAGAGGUCCCAAGCGUUGUUCGGAUUCACUGGGCGUAAAGGGUGCGUAGGCGGCUUUGCAAGUCGGAUGUGAAAUCCCUCGGCUUAACCAAGGAAGUGCAUCCGAAACUGCAGAGCUUGAGUACUUAAGAGGAUCGCGGAAUUCCCGGUGUAGAGGUGAAAUUCGUAGAUAUCGGGAGGAACACCAGUGGCGAAGGCGGCGAUCUGGGAAGAUACUGACGCUGAGGUGCGAAAGCGUGGGGAGCAAACAGG
rnacentral:rRNA from 1 species